CAAUACUUUGGUGGCGACCGGCGCACGGGUGCGUAACGCGUAUGCAACCUACCUUUAACAGGGGCAUAACACUGAGAAAUUGGUACUAAUUCCCCAUAACAUUCGAGAAGGCAUCUUCUUGGGUUAAAAACUCCGGUGGUUAAAGAUGGGCAUGCGUUGUAUUAGCUAGUUGGUGAGGUAACGGCUCACCAAGGCAACGAUACAUAGGGGGACUGAGAGGUUAACCCCCCCACAUUGGUACUGAGACACGGACCAA
rnacentral:rRNA from 1 species